rnacentral:rRNA from 1 species
UACGUAGGGUGCGAGCGUUGUCCGGAAUUAUUGGGCGUAAAGGGCGCGUAGGCGGCCAUUCAAGUGACGGGUGAAAGCCCUCGGCUUAACCGAGGAACUGCCUGUCAGACUGGAUGGCUUGAGACCGGGAGAGGUGAGUGGAAUUCCCAGUGUAGCGGUGAAAUGCGUAGAUAUUGGGAGGAACACCAGUGGCGAAGGCGGCUCACUGGACCGGAACUGACGCUGAGGCGCGAAAGCGUGGGGAGCAACAGGG